rnacentral:rRNA from 1 species
ACUCCUGCGGGAGGCAGCAGUGGGGAAUAUUGGACAAUGGGCGCAAGCCUGAUCCAGCCAUGCCGCGUGAGUGAUGAAGGCCCUAGGGUUGUAAAGCUCUUUCACCGGUGAAGAUAAUGACGGUAACCGGAGAAGAAGCCCCGGCUAACUUCGUGCCAGCAGCCGCGGUAAUACGAAGGGGGCUAGCGUUGUUCGGAUUUACUGGGCGUAAAGCGCACGUAGGCGGACUAUUAAGUCAGGGGUGAAAUCCCGGGGCUCAACCCCGGAACUGCCUUUGAUACUGGUAGUCUUGAGUUCGAGAGAGGUGAGUGGAAUUCCGGGUGUAGAGGUGAAAUUCGUAGAUAUUCGGAGGAACACCAGUGGCGAAGGCGGCUCACUGGCUCGAUACUGACGCUGAGGUGCGAAAGCGUGGGGAGCAAACAGGAUUAGAAACCCCAGUAGUCCCAU